GUUUGAUCAUGGCUCAGGAUGAACGCUGGCGGCGUGCCUAACACAUGCAAGUCGAACGUGAUCCUAUUUCGGUAGGUGAAAGUGGCGCACGGGUGCGUAACACGUUGGUGACCUGCCCCGAGGUGGGGGAUAACUAUGGGAAACCAUAGCUAAUACCCCAGAUGUCUAAGUGUUUAGAAAGCUUAGACUAAAGUUCCGACGCCUCGGGAGGGGCCUGCGGGCUAUCAGCUUGUUGGUAGGGUAACGGCCUACCAAGGCUAAGACGGUUAGGGGGCGUGAGAGCGCGACCCCCCACAAUGGAACUGAGACACGGUCCAUACUCCUACGGGAGGCAGCAGUGAGGAAUAUUGGUCAAUGGGCGCAAGCCUGAACCAGCAACGCCGCGUGGAUGAUGAAGGCCUUCGGGUUGUAAAAUCCUUUUCUGAGGGACGAUAAUGACGGUACCUCAGGAAUAAGUCCCGGCUAACUACGUGCAGCAGCCGCGGUAAAACGUAGGGGGCGAGCGUUAUCCGGAUUUAUUGGGCGUAAAGCGCACGUAGGUGGCGCUGUAAGUUGGACGUGAAAGCUCCUGGCUCAACUGGGAGAGGUCGUUCAAGACUGCAGUGCUCGAGGUUGGAAGAGGAGAGUGGAAUUCCCGGCGUAGUGGUGGAAUGCGUAGAUAUCGGGAGGAACACCAGUGGCGAAAGCGACUCUCUGGUCCACACCUGACACUGAGGUGCGAAAGCGUGGGGAGCAAACGGGAUUAGAUACCCCGGUAGUCCACGCUGUAAACGAUGGAUACUAGGUGUAGGCGGUCAUUUACCCCGUCUGUGCCGAAGCCAACGCGUUAAGUAUCCCGCCUGGGGACUACGGCCGCAAGGUUAAAACUCAAAUGAAUUGA
rnacentral:rRNA from 1 species